rnacentral:lncRNA from 1 species
AUUAUUCAAUAGUAGCUUAGAUUUUUAUAACACCCAGUAUUAUGUGUCUAGAACUGUAGUGUUGUAAAUUUGUAGUGAUAUUAUCAUUUCUAACAUAGUGUAUCUGAUUAACUAAAAAAUGAAUAAAUUUUCCACAGAAGUUAUCAGUGGUCAAUAAAGCUCAUCAUUGACAAUGAAGGUGACAACUUCCUGGAUAAUAAUAUAUUCAAUUUUAAUUUUAGGUACUGGGAAAUAAUUGUCCCAAAUGAAAUUAGUUCCUAAUUCAAACUGCAAAUACUGAUUAGAGCAAUAAAUAAUAAUCUUAAUACAGUAUCCAGAAUUUUGUGUGAUAGAAAACUCGAAAGACGACAAGCUGUUUUCAUCAUGCUCAAGUGACAAGGAGUGCGUAGUGGAGAUAGCGGUGCCGGCUUAUGCUUUUUACACUCUAAUUCGUAUUACUUAACCCGACUAGUAAGUACCAAGGAUCUAUAUACAAAUAAUUCAAACGCAGUUUUUACAGUAGUUAAGUACCACAUUGCAUGGAUCCGUGAACUGUAUAUCAAACAUAACUAAGUGCAAAAUAAUUAUAGUUAUGUUAUGGAAAAUAUAGUUUAUUCCAAUUGUAAUUGAAAUCAAUAUUUGUAUAUAAUUUUUUUUACCUAUGUGUAAUAAUAAUUAUUACACAUGGGUUGUAUCAGUUAACACAACAAUUCAUUAAAAUUAAACAUAAUAGGUACCUACGUACCUAUGGAAUAAUACAUGAUAUGUAUAGUACCAAAUAUUAUAUUAAAUUAUAAUUUACAAAUAUUAAAUUCAGUUUUUAGCAUA